CAAUUUGGGGAAAAUGUCUUACUGAUUUCUUUUCAGUAAGACAUUUUCCAUCUCCUUCAUCCUGAUAAAAUUUCUCUCAUUCUUCUGUUCUUCAACUUCUUAUAUUUCUUCCAUUUUUCCUUAGUUCGUCGCACAUGCUCUUCUCAGGCAAUACACGCUGCUAUUUCGUCUUUCUCAGGCAAAGCUCUUUUUUAGGCAAGGAAGAACCUUAUUGGGUUUGCUUCUUUAGGCAAGGAAGAACCUUUCUAUGAAAUCCAUUGAUUACCCAUGUGGAGAAGAGUUUGAAAUUGAGACAGUUGAGGAUAAAAAAUCUGACUUGCAAAACAGACUCAGAGAAGAGAUUGAAGGUAAUACCAAACUCAAAGCCAGUGUGGAAAAACGAAAGAAGACAUUGCAAGGGCGUCAACUAUGUCUUGAGAAAGAAGCACAUUUGUAAUGUAGCAAUAUUAAAGGAAGAGUUGCAAAGAGAGAGAGAUAAGAGGACAGCUCUGGAAUCCAUUCUUAACUCAUCUCAAGAACAACCCACAGUUAUCCUAGCUAAGAUUGAUGAAAAGACAAAGGCAGAUCUCAAUGACAUAGCUCUAGCAGAGGCAGAUAUAAUUAAUUUGAAAAAGAAGGUUGAAGAUCUGGAGGUGUAGCUUAAUCAACAACUUGAGAAAAAAUCUGCUUCCAUGAAUGAUUCAUGCAGUCAACGUCAACCAAAUCAUCAUGCAAAAAAAGGAUAAGCCAAAGGGUACUGGAGCUAUUGUUAAAGAGUCAGCAAGCAAGUUGUUGCUUAUGGAUGUAUGAAGAUUCUUGAUGCACUCACCUCAAGAGAAAUUGUGAUUGUGAAAGUUGAUGUGGAAAGUUGAAGAAAAAAUUGGACAGGCUCCGAGGGAUGUGAUCAGUUAUAUGGUUGAAUUUAUUUUAAAAGAAAAAUCGAAGCCCUUCGUUUCAACUUUGUCACUGAUCAGUAUGAGCUGCAGUUUUUUGUUAUGAUGUGGAUAUUGAGUGUUGGGUUUAAAUGAUUGCUUGAUCUUAGCUUGGACUCACACUAACUUAAACUCAACUGUUAGUAUUUAAGGUGAUUUUUUUCUUUAAUUUUUCUUUCAUUUGUUUUCUUGAUCGUAGUUAACCCUUGAAGAAAUUAUUGCUGAAUAAACAAGAUUGGUUUUAUUCUAAAGCAAAAAUAUAAAAGCAAUACUUUUCUUAGCCUUUAUUUACUUCUGUUAGGAUUGAGCUCUGAUUAGAGAUUUUGUUUUGGGUUUAAUUGUUGAUUCAUCUUUUUUCUAUUAUUUCUUCUUCUUCUUUAUUUACUUUAUUAGGAUUGAACUCUGAUUAGAGAUUUUGUUUUGGGUUUAAUUAUUCAUCUUUUUUCUAUUAUUUCCUGGCAGCUCCUUUGUUAGUUAAUCUUGUUUCCAUGUUAGUUUAUUGUACGUUUUAGAAAGAUCAGAAAUCAAGGAGCUGGGGUUGUGUUAUUUAAUCAAGAAUUGAGAAGAGAGGCUAGAAAAUAAUAGAAGAAAAGAAGGGUAUAUGAGUGUGUUCAUGUACAGUAUCUGAUAAUAACUCCUUAGCUACCAGCUGAAAGUAAUGGCCAAUAAGAAAUUAAGACUUGGCCAAUAUAUGAUCUAUGUGGUUACAAAAGGGAAUUUAAGCUAACUUUCAUCUCAGCAGGUUGCUAUGCCUGAUUCUCUCUCCCUUUAGCUCCUUUUUGUCAAUUUCCUUCUUGUUCUAGGCUGUAUUGCCUAUAACCUCGGAACCGGCAAUGGUACAUCUGUGCUUGAAAUGGUUGCUGCUUUUGAGAAAGCUUCUGGAAAGAAAAUCCCCAUUAAACUAUGCCUUAGAAGGCCAAGAGAUGCUACAACUGUUUAUGCUUCCACUAAAAACGCUCAAAAAGAACUUGGUUGGAAAGCAAAAUAUGGUAUAGCAGAGAUGUGCAGAGAUCAGUGGAAGUGGGCAAGCAACAAUCCAUGGGGAUACCAGUCAAAACCUUAGGCUUCAACUAAAUACUAAUUUUCUUCCCCAGUCUUUUAAAAAUGUCUCAUAGGGAGAAUUAAGUGUACAAAUACUUGUUUAAUUUAAACAAAACUGAUCUUUGAUGAUCAAAAGGUAGGAUUUAUCAAAUGUUCAAAUAUCUUAUAAAAUUCCUUUGAGUUACAUUUAUAA